CCUCUCAAACUGCAGUGUCUUUGUGAGAGACCAGAGGACUGGAGCUAAGGGGGAAAACGCCAUCUGCUCCCCUCCCUUCUUCGUCAACGGAAGCAUUUAGUGCCAUCUGUGCCCCCAGAGAAAAGAGGAAAAAAAGAAAGGAGUGAGACUCUCCAUCCCAAGUGCCAAUGGGGACAAAGAGGCUGCCAGUUGCCACGGACCACCAGAUGCAGGAAGACUGCAAGUCUGAAUGAGGGGUGUGCUUUCAGGAAGCCAUCUUGAUGGAGAAGCUGGCUGCAGCUCCCUAAAAUGGCUGUGUUGGCAUGAGGCUCCUGGAAAUGAAACUGAAAAAUCCCCAUCGUUGUCAUCAGCUACUGGAGAAACUGAGGCCAUCCUGCUAUGUUUGACUCAAAUGGUCAAUCACAUCACCUCAGGAAUCCAGCGUCCAGCAUCUCUUCCGGAUGGUUCGCUGUGGAAAUUAAACAAGCAGAUGAGGGAUGGUUUAAAAUGUGCACUAAUUGAUUUAACUGGGUGUCUUAAAACCUUGCAGUCUUCAGACAAUCACUUAUCACUAGACAAUCACUGGAUGGGCUUGUGGAUUUGGGCUGCUCACCCAAACAUGCUGUACAGUCUUAUCAGUGCUAUAUAA
ensembl:lncRNA